rnacentral:ribozyme from 13 species
GAAGGAAUUUGAAGAGAAGAACAUUUUGAACCUAAUUUUCUUAGUUUGUUUUUUCUUAUUUCUUCUUCUUUUCUUUUUUCUUCUUUUUUUCGCUGUCUGUUGCUUUUUCUGUCGAUAACAACAACAAGA